ACGUAGGAGACAAACGUUAUCCGGAGUUACUGGGCGUAAAGGGCGUGCAGGCGGUUUCUUAAGUUCGUCGUGAAAUCGCCCGGCUUAACCGGGCGGGGUCGAUGGAUACUGGGGAACUAGAGGGCGGUAGAGGCGUGUGGAAUUCCGGGUGUAGUGGUGAAAUGCGUAGAUAUCCGGAGGAACACCAGUGGCGAAGGCGACACGCUGGGCCGUACCUGACGCUAAGACGCGACAGCAUGGGGAGCGAACGG
rnacentral:rRNA from 1 species